GGGGGUGUAAAGGUUUCGACUUACAAAUAAAGUAUUUAUGGCAUGCAGAGGAUGCUAGUUGGCCUCUUUAAUCAUCUAGCAAAAAACAUAAAAGGCGAAAAUAAUUUUGCUUUAGCGGCAUAAGACCUAAUAGUUUUAUCUGCUCGGUAAUUUAAAAUCUGACCGGGAGUUUUAAAAAUUACCGUCAUAUUUCUUGGUAAGGAUCUUUGUAAUUUUAGCUAUCUAAUGACAAAGUUUCGAGAUUAAAAAAAUAGCAAAACAGUUUUUUAUGUCUGAAUCUUACGUUGAACUGUUUUUAUAAAAAGAUUCUAAGCAUGUAGUCAAAAAUAUCUGAGUUUGAUAAGGACGAGAGUUCGAUUCUCUCCACCUCCAUUU
rnacentral:tmRNA from 1 species